rnacentral:tRNA from 1 species
GCGGGGCAAGCGAUCUGGCGGUCGCGUCUGCUCGACAAGCAGAAUCGGGUGAGUUCGAUUCUCACGCCCCGCA